CGCAGCCGCGGUAAUUCCAGCUCCAAUAGCGUAUAUUAAAGUUGUUGCAGUUAAAAAGCUCGUAGUUGAAUUUCGGGAUCAAUUAAUUGGUCGUGCCUCUGGUACGUACUGAUUUUAUUGGUUUCUCCCUUCUGAAGAACCAUGAUGUCAUUAAUUUGGUGUCGUGGAGAAUCAGGACUGUUACUUUGAAAAAAUUAGAGUGUUUAAAGCAAGCUAACGCUUGAAUACAUUAGCAUGGAAUAAUGAAAUAGGACGUUUGAUCCUAUUUUGUUGGUUUCUAGGAUCGACGUAAUGAUUAAUAGGGAUAGUUGGGGGCAUUAGUAUUCAAUUGUCAGAGGUGAAAUUCUUGGAUUUAUUGAAGACUAACUACUGCGAAAGCAUUUGCCAAGGAUGUUUUCAUUAAUCAAGAACGAAAGUUAGGGGAUCGAAGACGAUCAGAUACCGUCGUAG
rnacentral:rRNA from 1 species